GACAGAGGAGCCAAGCGUUGUCCGGACUGACUGGGCGUAAAGCGCACGCAGGGGGCGCUGCGCGUGGGGUGUGAAAGCUCUUGGCUUAACUGAGAGAGGCCAUCCCAUACGGCAGUGCUCGAGCGGUGCAGAGGUCCGCGGAAUUGCCGGUGUAGUGGUGAAAUGCGUAGAGAUCGGCAGGAACACCCAGGGGGAAACCAGCGGACUGGGCAUCAGCUGACGCUCAGGUGCGACAGCGUGGGGAGCGAACCGG
rnacentral:rRNA from 1 species